CUCUCUACGUAAUUACUUUGAAGACAGAAAGAGAAAAACUCAAAAAGAAUUGGAAAUUUAGAUUACUCUGACAUGUUUCUUGAUAUUCUUAGCUUUAUACACUAAAUGCAUGUAUAAUGUUCCCAGUUUCAUCUGUUUUCUACAUGUGGCCCUUUGUGACUAACAGGUAAAGCUCAAGUCUUCACAUCAUUCAAAUCACAGAACACAUACAAAGCCAGUCACUUGGAAUUGCUGGUAGCCAUGUGGGUUCAAGUUUUCACUUCUAUUUUGGAACAGACAUACUGUGUAUUUCCAUCCUGCUAACACUGUUGCAGUUUGUUUGUAAGACAGAGUAAAGGAAACUUGUUCCCUGUUCCUUUGUAUUCAUAUAGGAAAAAUCAACAACAACAGCAAUGAAAACAGUCUAUCAUACCCUAACAGUCAACAAGCUACAGAGGUUUGUUCCUACAAAGAACACAGUACUGGAUGUGUGAGACUUAGUACUGGAGACCAUCAAAGUUUUCUUAAUUUUCUUAGUGUUCAGGUUUAAACAUCUUUUUCUUCUUUGCUAGUUGAGGAUUUUAUAGAUCUGUGGUCUGCUCCAAUCAAUUCUUAUCUCAUUUUUUUUCUGACAACUUUCAAUCACCACUUUGUAAUGUUUUCUACACUAACUUCUCUCUGUUCUUCUUUAUAACUUUACCAGAUAUAUUUUUGUGGUUCUAAUGUUUUCCAUCUUAGCAGUGGUUUUCAUAUAUUGAGUUAGAACAUAGGACUUGGCAGACUCUAAAAUAAAUUCUUAACUUCUUAAAAAUGUUAUUUAGCUUAGGCCUUCCAUGCCUGCAGUCUUGCCCUCUUAAAUUAUUACACAGAAUCCUUAAGCCAGGCAUAUUCAUUACAUUAUCCAAAUUCCAAAAUCAUACAGCUGUCAUUGAAAAUGAAAAAAAGAAAGAAUUAGAAAAAAUAUCCUCAUUUAGUAAUCUUUCUUGAGACAAAUAUGUUCUGUUGAGUAUUAUGAUAGGGAAUACUCUUGUUCAGUUGUGGAACAGCUAUAGAUUUUAUUUUUUACUAACACAUUCUGAUCUGUUUCCUUAGUAAUCAAUAUGUUGUUUUGAAGGAAGUACUGUUAAAAUAUUAAAGAUAUCUAGAAGCACAAUUGUCCGAGCACAUAAUGGAACUCAACAUUAAAAUCAUCAACACUGUUUAAAACAAUUUUCCAUAUCACAUAAGUAUCUGCCAUAUAUCCUACCAAUUUAUUCCGAACAGUUUUAAAAACAACUUCUACUGAGUUCGUAAAUUCUCCCAAGAGACAAUACAGCACAGAAGUCUAAAGUUGAAAAUGGGGGGGGGAAGGAGUUUUUUUUGUCUGCAACUGGCUUGCGGUGUGUUUUGUUUGGUCUCCAUUUUCCUGUGCACGUACUACCUAUCUUCUCUUCCAGACUGCAAAUGUUUGUUUUGUUUUACUUGCUCAGCAAGUUUUUGGAAGAUUUUUAUUUUGCCUGGAAUUCUAGGUUCAUUCUAGGAAUGAGCCAGACAUCUAGUUUUUUCUCCCAUAGCUUUUCCUAUGCCCUCAUAGCACAAAGUAAUACAAAAUGUAAAACAAUCAAUUAUCAGCAAAUAAUCCCAUUUCUACAAGCCUCUGUAUUUUCAUUUGAAAUUCUCAUUAGUUAAUAGUAAUCAUGAAAAAAAUCUACUAUAUUACAUAUAUAUUAUGCUAUAUACCAAGAUACAGUCUUAGACUGUGUAGAGUAGGUAUAACCAUUAAAAAGUACAGAAACAAGAUUCUAUUACCUGAAGGUUAAUAGAGUGAGGUGCUUGGAAACUAAAGAAGCAUUAGAGAAAAUAUGACAAUUAUUUGUAGGAGGGAGGCUAACCUUUAAAAUUGUUUGGGUAUUCAACAUAAUUAGUCCUGAUAGCUUUUGACUAUUAGAGAUUGUAUCCUAAAUUACUAAGAAUUUUGUUAUUAGUUGACCUUAAAAAACCUUAUUAUCCUACAGCAAGAUAUGAAUACAAUUUCCACCAGUGGUAAUUAAUGUGGGCUGCCAGACAUUGGCUAGGUGCCUCCAAUGAGAUGAUAUUACACCUGAACUCUAAUCUGCGGUAACGUAAACUUUGAUAACACAAUGAGAACCCCACUAAACUUCUGAGGAAAAUAGUUAGCUGGAUCCUAGAAAAAGGACAAGCUGUAAAGUCCCCCUGAUGCCCGAAAUAAAUGUUUUGUUUAAAACCAAAUUUAUUUUUCCCUACUCCAAUUUAUAGCAGGUGUUAGAGACUGACAGAGACUCAUAGUGAAUAGAGCUGUAAGGUGUUAUUCCCACAACUAACUUGGGCUAGGGAACUGGCCCCAAAUCAUCCAUACCAUUGAACUGUACAUUUCUGAGCAGCGGUGGCCAGUGCCAAGAAGCACUGUUCCCAGUGCAUACUGAAUGGAUUAGAUGGGAUUACUCAAUUUGGGGCAGAAAGACAUGUCACCUGCAGAGGCACAAAUCACAUUUUGUAGAGUUAGUUAUGGCUCAUAUGCUCAUAUGGCUCAUAUGUGACUAGUUAAAGGUAUAUAAGUUAUGUGAUGUAUGUGAAUUUUUUCACUAAACUGUUUUACAAAAGCACUGGUUUCUCUGUGUGGUAUUGUUUUCUGUUGGUUAAGUAAGAUGCUGAAAAUUAGCACUAAGUAAUUUCUAAUGAUGUUGCUAAAGCAAUAAGAUGAAUAUGAUGAUCAUAGUGAUUAGCAUAUAUUUAUAUUCUCUUUGUUCCAUCUCCAGCAUUUUCUUGCUACUAUGCCCCACAUUUUUAUUACUUAUUUUUAUUUUAUUUUCAGUUCUACUAUGUUAAAUUCAACAAGUGAAAAAGAAAACAAAGGACAAGUCAUAAAGCUAGGCUCACAAAAAAACUCCAAAGGGAGCAAUCUCCGGAAAGAGAUCCUUCCUCAGUGGCAGUCAGCCCUUAAAUGGAGUCUAGGAGAGGAAUCAGGCUCUACCCCUUCCGGUCACACAGGUAAAUUGCCUUCAAUUGUGCUCCUUGGGCUGACUCUGUGCUCGCCUCAAGUGAGUGGUUCAGGCUGUGAUUCAACAGCUCCCAUACAUUAGUGAGUUACUGUGAAAACCGGAUGAAUGUAGACUUUUUAUGAUAUUUCUGUUGAGUGUUGCAAGGAAGUUACAGAAACAGCGUUUUGUAGGUAGGCUUUCUUUUGUUUAGUUUUUUUUUUUUUUUGUAAUUGUCACAACUUGCAAUAAUAAAAUCAUUGCUACUGUUUGGCUGUAAUACAUAAUAUUCUAUAAUGCUUUCUAGAGCAACUGCUUAGGGUGUAGAAACAAUUCUUUUUUGCUUGACAGGUAUGGAUUUCUAACAAAAAUACCACCUUCUUACAGCUUAUGCAAACAAGUUUUAUAAAUUCCUAUUGAAAAGAGCAAGAGAAUAUAUUCUGUGGGCAAAACUAGACUUCAUCUUGCAACUGUUGCCCUGGUGAAAUAUUUUCUGUAAAUUACAGUCUUCAUGCUCUUAUUGUAUCUUCUGCAAUCUCACCUGCUAGUGCUGUACAAUGUAUAUUGAUUUUUGUCUGGUAUUCAGACAAAGAGAAAGCUGUUUAAUCAUUUGGUUUCUGAC
ensembl:lncRNA